CUUCACCCUGAGCUGCUCCAUCCAGAACUUCUAUCCCAUGGACAUCAAGGUGACUUGGCUACGGGUCAGUGGGGAAGGACAGAAAGAAAUCCGAGCUCACCCAGUGACCCCAGUGACAGGGGACAGGGGCUACGGAGUGGAGGCUGUGGCUGAAUUCACCCCACGGACUCUGAGUGACCUGCUGGACUCGGACUGUGUGUGUGUUGUGCAUCACGAGGCCUCAGAUAAACCUGUGGAGAGACGUCUUGGCAAAGAGUUUUUAAAAGGUUUUGCUCGUGAGCCCACCGUCUCAGAUGUGCAGGUCCACUUCACUGACUUUGGUCAGCGCUGUACCCUCACCUGCGUCAUCUCAGACUUUUACCCCAAAGAGAUCAAAGUCACCUGGAUGAGGAGACAGAAGGGAACCAAAUGGACAUAUCAGACACGUACAGGGGACUGGAAACCCACCAUGACUCAGUAUGGGCCGUCAGUAACAGAUAACUGGUACUCAAUGCUGUGUCAGGCUGAAUUCACCCCUCAGACCCUCAGUGACGUGGAGGACAUGGAGUUCAUCUGCAGAGUGGAGCACAUGAUGAAGGCGCCUGUUGAGAGGAGCUGCUCUGUCAUUUCAGGUCUGCACCGACGCCCCCCGACUGUGUCAGAUAUACAGGUGAGUGAGUAUAAAGGACUCCAUCAGUCCCGCACGCUGAGCUGCUCCAUCCUGGACUUCUACCCCAGAGACAUUAGAGUGACCUGGCAAUGGGCUGGUGAUAGAGGACCAGACAUCAGAUCUCAGUCACGUGAACCCCAACAAGCAGAGCAAAGCUACCAGCUGGAGGCCAAGGCCAUUUUCACUCCAAAGACUCCAAAUGACUGGGAGGACAUGGAGGUUAUCUGUGUGGUGGAGCACGAGACUCUGAACGGACAGCACAUUGAGAAGAGACUGGUAGUGCCAGGUCAGACUACAGCCAGUCAGAUGGACAAUGGAUCUGGAAAUCAAACAAAAGAGGACAAUAAGCCUACUGACUCAGGUGAGAAUGGACCCAGUCAGAAGCCCAAAGGAAAUAAAGGUAAAACACCCAGCCAUUGGGGUCACUAACCACAAGUGUGGCAUCAGCCCCAUGGUGUAAAUAAAGAUCAAAAAUCUGAAGCACCUGCCUAGUGUGUGACGAGUGACCGGUGGCACUAAGGUGACCCUCUAAGGUGACCCUCUGCUGUCCUCUGAGUGUUGCUCAUGCUGCUCUCCAGUCCAUCUGACAACAAUGAAAGGCCCAGCAGCUUCAUUACUUCUAAACUGUAAGACGUCAACUGUAAGAGACCCCUAAUUGACGUCUCCUCCUCAAGCUCACCUCGUCCUGAACUCUCCUUCUAAAGCUGCGGUGAUUCAGCUCAGCAUCAUUUACCACAUCGGCCAACCCAGAUGUGCCCACCCAUGGUCAGCUAAGAGAAGGAAAAAAGCCAAAGCAACCAGAAAGAAGGUGGUCCUCGGGCUGCCACUCCACCUCUGCAGGGCUCACUAAUCACUUUGAGGACUCCUGAGUGGGCUGUCCAAGGUGGGGGGUCCUGAACACAUUUCUGUAAUCCACCUGAGACCAUCAAGUGGGAGAGAAGCUGCAAUCAGUCAGUCAGUCAUUCUGGUGGCCUCAGUGUCACUUGUCCAUCUGUACAGAUGAGAGCUUCAGGGUUUUGUGCUUUGGGUCUGGUUGGUGGUCUCCAUUUGGUUGGUGGUCUCCAUUGCUCUUCUCCUAGUCCUCACAUCUCUUCCCAGGUGUUUUUUGGUGUCACUUUGCUCUGCUGGUUACGACACUUCAUUCCUGUGACUGUCACACUGUGAGGACGUUUACUUCUUGUGACCCUAAAGGCUCCGAUGUUUCAUUGUUGGUGAUUGAGUUUCUGUGGCUGUCGCUGCUCCUCUCAUGUCUGCCUCUUAUUUCACAGAUUUUACUUUAUUUGUGUUCAUAGUUCACUCUGAGUGUUUGUAGGUCUCUCCACGCAGCACGUCGUCCUCGUCGUCUUCUUUUUAUUUCAUUUUCAGAGCUCAUGUCAUCAGUUUGUUCUUCUUUGGUCACCUAAAGCCUAAUAAAGCGAUGGCCUGCAGAGUCAGGACUCCAUGU